GACGAACGCUGGCGGCGUGCUUAACACAUGCAAGUCGAGCGGUAAGGCCUUUCGGGGUACACGAGCGGCGAACGGGUGAGUAACACGUGGGCGACCUGCCCUCCACUCUGGGAUAAGCCCGGGAAACUGGGUCUAAUACCGGAUAUGACCUUCCUCUGCAUGGGGGUUGGUGGAAAGUUUUUCGGUGGGGGAUGGGGCCGGGGCCUAUCAGCUUGUUGGGGGGGUGAUGGCCCACCCAGGCGACGACGGGUAGCCGGCCUGAGAGGGCGAACGGCCGCAGUGGGACGGGGACACGGCCCAGAGUCCUACGGGAGGAAGCAGUGGGGAAUAUGGCGAAAUGGGCGGAAGCCUGACGCAGCGACGCGGCGUGGGGGAUGACGGCCUUCGGGUUGUAAACCUCUUUCGCCAGGGACGAAGCCGCAAGGUGACGGUACCUGCAGAAGAAGCACCGGCUAACUACGUGCCAGCAGCCGCCGUAAGAC
rnacentral:rRNA from 1 species